UAAUGGCGCACUACUGGUGUGCCACUAGUACAACGCCACUAGUAUUUUUUACUAAUGGCGCACCACUGGUGCGUUAUUAGUAUACUAGAUACUAAUGGCGCACCUGUAGUGCGCCAUUA
rnacentral:pre_miRNA from 1 species